rnacentral:rRNA from 1 species
UACGGAGGGUGCGAGCGUUUGUCCGGAAUCACUGGGCGUAAAGGGCGCGUAGGUGGCGUCGCAAGUCAACGGUGAAAGCCCGGGGCCUCAACCCCGGGUCGGCCGUGCGGACUGCGGGCUCGAGCACUGUAGGGGCAGAUGGAAUUCCGGGUGUAGCGGUGGAAUGCGUAGAGAUCCGGAAGAACACCGGUGGCGAAGGCGGUCUGCUGGGCAGUAGCUGGACGCUGAGGCGCGAAGGCCAGGGGAGCAAAGCGGGGAUUAGAAACCCCGGAGUAGUCCAAGACCGAAUGUAC